CUACGGGGUGCAGCAGUAGAGAAUAUUGCGCAAUGGGCGAAAGCCUGACGCAGCGACGCCGCGUGAGUGAUGAAGGCCUUAUGGGUCGUAAAGCUCUGUAAGGAGGGAAGAACACUUUAUGGUAACGCAUAAAGCUGACGGUACCUCCAAAGUAAGGACCGGCUAAACAGGUGCCAGCAGCCGCGGUAAUACCUGUGGGUCCGAGCGUUGUCCGGAAGGACUGGGCGUAAAGGGUGCGUAGGCGGCCACAUAUGUCAGGUGUGAAAUCCCCGGGCUUAACCUGGGAACUGCGCUUGAAACUGUGUGGCUGGAGUAUGUGAGAGGUAAGCGGAAUUCCCGGAGUAGCGGUGAAAUGCGUAGAGAUCGGGAAGAACACCAGUGGCGAAGGCGGCUUACUGGCACAUAACUGACGCUGAGGCACGAAAGCGUGGGGAGCGAACGGGAUUAGAUACCCGCGUAGUC
rnacentral:rRNA from 1 species